AACUGGAGUUGCUUUGUCUGAAAUACUCAGGCUAACAAAGGAGGAACCAUUACAGACUAUUAUAUGUGAAAGGAACUUUUGCUGGACUCAAAGAAGCAGUUCUAAACUAUCUUCUUCAAGAGCAUACAAGGCUUUCCUUUUGCUUCAGAGAAAAGAGUUGUCAUAAAAAUCAGUCCUAUAUGUCCAUGGAUGCCUCAUGGUGGAAUUCAUUUAUGAGGACAAAAGUCCUGCAUACAAAGAGCAUGAAUAGCUGUAACUACAGAACUAUGGACCAUGAAUAGCUGUAACUCCUGGAAUUUCAUCAGUGUAAGGAAAAAGGAACCUGCAGUACCAUGGUGAACUCUUCCCCAGGUGGCGGCUGAACAGAUUGAUGGAAUUAACAAAGGAAAUGCCUUUUGAAGAAUCUGUUAUAGCUAAACAACUUUUUCACCAUUUUAACAACAUUAAUUGACAAUCACUGUUGAAAAAUAAGAAUGGAUGGUGGACAUAGCUAUAAAGCCUUACCAAAUGCAUAUUUUUUUUUCAGACUAGACAUGUUUUCUAGCAACACAAACUAAUUAUUUUUAAAUAGGAAGAGAAA
rnacentral:lncRNA from 1 species